rnacentral:lncRNA from 1 species
CCCCCCUAUUCAUUCUACCCGACGUCUUGCCAAACAAAACCAUGCUCGGCGACUCAACCUCGCCUCUCCAACCGAACCUCGUGCAUCAACGAUUGUGAUUGGCCUCGGCCCUCAUGCCUAGGUGACUCCGACACAUGCAUCUCCGCCCCACCAAUGCUCCUCCUCACACUCCCUUAGCGCUGUUGCCGCCUGCUUCAACGCGCCCUAAGGUUAAAUCGGUCCAUGACCAAUUGUUGGCUCCAUAGAAGCUCGUGGAAUGACACACAACUACAUUUUUAAGCUCUGAGUCUGUCUCAACCCUUCUCUCAGUACGUUUUUUCUGCGG